UAUAUGGUGAGGAAGAGGAAGAGUAUCCGCCAUGGCGUUGCGCAGAGAGCCCCUGUUUUGCUGAAAAGGGGAGAGGGUCAGACGGAGAAUACCCCUCAGAGCCGGCACCCCAACGGCCUUACGGCCCAGUAGGCGUGCUCCGGGUGCGCCCGUUACCGCGCGGGAGUGUGCUGGCACUCCAUGAGGCCGUCUCCGCGAGGAGGCGGCGAACCAGAGGUGGUACCGCGAAGUUGCUUCGCCCUCUGU
rnacentral:ncRNA from 1 species